AGGCUGUGGCCUGGUUCAAGUAAUCCAGGAUAGGCUGUAUCCAUUCUAACUGGCCUAUUCUUGGUUACUUGCACUGGGACAUGGCCAC
rnacentral:pre_miRNA from 12 species